GGCGAACGGGUGAGUAACGCGUAAGCAAUCUACCUUCAAGAUGGGGACAACACUUCGAAAGGGGUGCUAAUACCGAAUGAAUGUAAGAGUAUCGCAUGAGACACUUACUAAAGGAGGCCUCUGACAUAAGCUUCCGCUUGAAGAUGAGCUUGCGUCUGAUUAGCUAGUUGGUGAGGGUAAAGGCCCACCAAGGCGACGAUCAGUAGCCGGUCUGAGAGGAUGAACGGCCACAUUGGGACUGAGACACGGCCCAGACUCCUACGGGAGGCAGCAGUGGGGAAUCUUCCGCAAUGGGCGAAAGCCUGACGGAGCAACGCCGCGUGAACGAAGAAGGUCUUAGGAUCGUAAAGUUCUGUUGUUAGGGACGAAGGGUAAGAAUCAUAAUAAGGUUUUUAUUUGACGGUACCUAACGAGGAAGCCACGGCUAACUACGUGCCAGCAGCCGCGGUAAUACGUAGGCGGCAAGCGUUGUCCGGAAUUAUUGGGCGUAAAGGGAGCGCAGGCGGGAAACUAAGCGGAUCUUAAAAGUGCGGGGCUCAACCCCGUGAUGGGGUCCGAACUGGUUUUCUUGAGUGCAGGAGAGGAAAGCGGAAUUCCCAGUGUAGCGGUGAAAUGCGUAGAUAUUGGGAAGAACACCA
rnacentral:rRNA from 1 species